GGAGGGUUCGCAUAGUGGUCUAGUGCACCGCCUUGGAAAGGCGGCAUACCGCAAGGUAUCGAGAGUUCGAAUCUCUCACCCUCCG
rnacentral:tRNA from 1 species